AGUGAACGCUGGCGGUAGGCCCAACACAUGCAAGUCGAACGGCAGCACAGUAAGAGCCUGCUCUUACGGGUGGCGAGUGGCGGACGGGUGAGGAAUACAUCGGAAUCUACUUUUUCGUGGGGGAUAACGUAGGGAAACUUACGCUAAUACCGCAUACGACCUACGGGUGAAAGCAGGGGAUCUUCGGACCUUGCGCGAUUGAAUGAGCCGAUGUCGGAUUAGCUAGUUGGCGGGGUAAAGGCCCACCAAGGCGACGAUCCGUAGCUGGUCUGAGAGGAUGAUCAGCCACACUGGAACUGAGACACGGUCCAGACUCCUACGGGAGGCAGCAGUGGGGAAUAUUGGACAAUGGGCGCAAGCCUGAUCCAGCCAUACCGCGUGGGUGAAGAAGGCCUUCGGGUUGUAAAGCCCUUUUGUUGGGAAAGAAAAGCAGCAGGUUAAUACCCCGCUGUUCUGACGGUACCCAAAGAAUAAGCACCGGCUAACUUCGUG
rnacentral:rRNA from 1 species